CAUGGUGGACUUCCCAGAAGCACUCUGCGACUUUGGCUCCAGCGUCAACAUUAUGCCCAGGGUACUCUAUGAAAAAUACUUUACACAUCCUUUACUAGAAACAACCAUGUGUUUGCAGCUUGCAGAUCGGACACUAAGUUUCCCAAAGGGAAUAUUGAAAAACCUCUACGUCCGAGUUGAUACCUUGUACGCCCCAGCAGACUUCGUGGUGAUAGAGACUGGUACUGAUGAGAGGGCACCCAUCAUCCUAGGGAGGCCAUUCCUGAACACCUCGGGAGCUGUCAUCUACGCUAGUGCUGUCAAGAUCAGUUUCUACAUCAAGGGGAGGAAGGAGACGUUUUCCUUCGAGAACAAGAUUACACAAAUCUCAGAGCAAUCCAUACAUGAACCAAGGAAGAGAACCAAUAGGAGGAACAGAAACAAGCAAAUGUGGACCCAGUCAGCUAAGAUGGUCACUACAGUUCAAGGAGGUCAAGAUCGUCGACUUAAGUCACCGUUCCUGACCAAAAAGGAUGACUCAGUCACCUAUCAGCUCCUGUUAGGAACCAUGCCCUUAAAACCGACAUACACCCAGCUCCAGAUGGCAGAUCAAACAUUUUGGAAGGUUGAAGUUAUUGACAUAGGAGAAGACGAGUAUGAUCCACCCAUCAUCCUUGGAAGACCGUUCCUCAGCACCGUUAAAGAAAUCAUCUACAUUGGAACCAGAGGAGUCCACAUGCACUUCCCCUCUGAGAAGGUACACUACUAUUUUACUGACCCUAACUAUUUAGUUGAAGACUCUAAGCAGGUCAGGACAAGAAGAAGACGACGCAACCGCAACCAGAGUAGGAAAAUCAUCAAGGACGGAUGGGUAGACUAUGAAGGAGAAAUAGUGAGGUCUGAAGACACACACCUUGAACAGAACUGUCCUGAGGAGACCGUAGCACUGAGUCAGGUGUGAAGAGAGAAGAUAGUUAUACAAGAAGAGCAGGCACCGCCGGAACCACCGACUACGCCAUCCAGCGAAUCCCAGGACAACUGAGAAAAUGGAAAGUCUCGUUCGGAGGACUUAAAAACACCGAACGCCUUGCCAAGAGGUAAACUUGGUAGUUAUCUUUUUCCUUUCAAUUGUUUAAAAUAGUUUGCUUAGUUAAUCAGGUUCAUAUCAUCUUGAAAAGAAAAUAAAAAUGAUAAAAAUAGUAAGCCCCAUGUGAGUAUGCUCAUGGCAUAAAACCCAUAAGUACAUUCACUGUGGUGGCGUAAAAAUAAAAUAAAUAUAUUCUUGUCCUAUAAAAAUGAAAUUAUAAAAAUAAAAUUAUGAUCCUACUAAAGAGAGUAACAUUUAUUGAGGAGGCUCAACAUGAUAAAGGCUAAAUAUUUAUGCUAACACUUAACUAGUUCCACAAAGCUUUGUUGUCUAUUUGAGCUUCACAGAAUUCAAGGAUCAAAGAAGACUAGCAGACGGAAGACAUCCUAAUCGCUGUCACGGUGCUGCCAACAUUCAAAUACACCUCCACCGCCUGCUAGCUACAUCAGAAGGAAUUAUGGCAAAAUCCAGCUUGGCGGAGAGCACUCCUAUUUAUCCAGCUAAGUGUUUCUAAUCGCAUUUAUAUUUUACUCAAAUAAUAAAAAGAUGCAUAAUCAUAAAAACCCAAAUAAAGAUUUUGUGCUUAUAUAUAUAUUUGCUUAGUUUGCUAAAUAAAUAAAUAAAUAAAGUUUGCUAUGAACCCUCAUGAUAAGCUCUCACAUGGAAAUGAUGAAUAGUUGCUCUGCCAUGACUAGUUCUCAAAAUUGAAAUCUCUCUCAAGUUUAGGCAUGACUGUUAUUAAUUAAGAUUUGCUCUAAACCUGAACUUGUGGGGAGAGUACUUGAUCUAAAGUCUAAGUAGUUAACGGAUACGAUAUGGGAAGGUUGAGCUGCUGUUUAUCUGUUCCUAGAGAUGCUAGAAUUCUGGAGAAUUUUAUCUUUGAAAAUCUUUAAAAUGUUGCAUGAUGAGUUCCUGUAUGAUGAGAGUUUAAAUUCCUACCACAGCCAUAUAUAGAUGCUUGCUAGACUAUGAACCACACAUUUACUUUACUGCUUAUGAGCAUUGAGUGUGGUCAAGCUGUGUAGACCCUUAGGAGCUUGUCAUGUGGUUAAAUCAAGAUUCACUUGCACGUUCACUCACACAUGCUGCUUCUACUCCGGAAGUACGCAUCCACAUACAUCCACUCAUUUCCAUCUCCAGAUUCACCCAAAAAUAUUCUACUCCUAUUCCGGGAGAGAAUAGCCAAAAACAUUUCUGUUUUUCCCCUGUGAAAUAAAUGCUCAAGUUAUCUUGGUUACUACCACUUGCUAUAUUAUCUCAUGAGAUGAGUGCUCUUAAAAAAAAAGAAAAAAAGAUACGAGGAAAUAAAAAGGGGCAAGUGCCCGGAACCUCGAAGAAAAGAAAAAGUGAGACGAGAGGUAAAAAUGGACAAGUGUCCGACAGUAGAAUUAGGGGUACAAGAUACCCACCUGAGAGAAAAGAAAAAGAAAAUAUAGAGCAUCUCAUUCUCCUCAAAAUGUUUCAAAAGAGCAAGAAAGGUAUGUAUCCCCUCAAAAGAGCAUAAGUAGAAUUAGACUUUCACCAUUAUCACCAUCAUCACCAUACACCAUUCAUUUGCCACACAUGCACAUCUUGAUUUGACUUAUUGACUUGAUCUUCUUGAUCCAUGGUUUGACUAUGCAAUAAAUGUUUUGUAAGUAUGUAUUAGCUGUCUCCCACCUAUGAGCUCCAGAUAUCAAAACCAGAGUAGGGUGAGAGAGAAGGCAAUGCCAUUAUGCCCCAUACCAAAAAUACUACAUACUUUGAGAGAAGGCAUACACCAUUAAUGCCUUGGUAAGGAUCCAGAAAUACCACAAAAGAGAGACUAGAGAGAGUCAUACAAGGAAUCUCUGAGUUUUAUUUGAAAAUCUGCAAAAACUCCAAAGCUAUAGUUAAUCGAAGAACAAAAGACAUGGCGCUUGACUAGACCGUUCUAUCUUUUAACUGCUCAAGACACAAGUGACGGUUGCAAACCCCAUGGUGGAAGGUAAUAUGAGUAAGUUUAAAUCUUAACAGUUUACCCUAUCCUAGAGAUGAGAUCUUGUUUGAACGCAUGUGUAUCUUUAAGGCAUGAAACCACUGCAGAAACUCUUGAGUUCAUCUUUGCUCAGGGACGAGCAAAGGUUAAGCUUGGGGGAGCUUGUUGACGGUCCUUAAUGCUCACAUUUAACCAUCAACUAAUCAUGGAAAAGGAUCCAAAUGCAACUAACACCUAGACUUAGGGUUUUAUCUGACAGAAUUCCAUGAGUUUUGGUGUUUGUCUAUUUCUGCAGAGGGUUAUCAGGAAAUAUGGAAGAAAGGCCCACACGUCGGGUUUAGAUAGAGAUAUUAACGUGCCGCACAAUUAUCUACCAUCUAGAAGAGUCCAGAAGCCACGGGAGUGAACGGGAGACGUAACGGAGUCAGGCACUGGGCGCCCGCCCUCCCCAACUGGGCGCCCGCCCUCCCCCCUGGACCAAUCAGGGUGAAGUUCGGGGAUCAUGCUCCACCGACCUAAUACUUUAAGGAAAACCACACGAUCAAUGUCGGUUUGAUCCGACGGCCCAGAUUCACUUGAAGGGACUAUAAAACCAGACCCCCCUGGCCCCUGGAGAUCAUACCACUUCUACAGCAUCAAAGCUAGGGUUUCAAUUCUUCAUCCAAGUAGAGAGGAUCGCUCUAGUUCUUCUAGUUCUACCUCUAGUUCAUCUAGUUCUAGUUCAUCUAGUUCUAGUUCUAGUUCCUCUAGUUCUAGUUCUAGUUAGUUCUAGUUGUAAUCUAGAAAAUAGGGAGAGAGAAGAGGAGAGCGGAGGAGGAGCCGGAUCUGUCGGAUCUUCCUCAACAUUGUACUUUUGCAGCAACUGGUUCGUCCUUCUGUUGACGGUUCUUAAGUUUCAAUUUUAAUUAUCAAAUAAACAAGAGAAAGGACCAAUAUGCAACCAACACCUAGAAUUAGGGUUUGAUCUGACAGAAUUCCACGAGUUUUGUUGUUUAUCUAUUUCUGCAGGGGGUUAUCAGGAAAUAAGGAAGAAAGGCCCACAUGUCGGGAUUACAUAGAGAUAUCAACGAACCGCGUGAUUUUACAUCAUCUAGAAGACUCCAGAAGCCACGAGACCGAAGCGGAGGCGAAACGGGGCUAGGCCCAGGGCGCCCGCCCUGGAGGCCUGGGCGCCCGCCCCCUGCUGGAGCCAGAUCAGGACUCUCUUCGCUCGGGAUAUUCCACCGACCUAUUGGAUCAAUAAAAACAUAGUACCACCUCGCUUAUCGACCCAAAAACGCAUAGAAGGGGAGGACUAUAUAAGCAAGGCCCCCCUGGCCCCUAGAGAAGACAUGAAGAAAUUAUCAUAGAGACUGAGGGGUGCCCUCGAAGGAAAACCUCUUCUCUAAUUAAUAUUUCUUUUUAGGCUUAGCAACCAAUGUAAGGUAGAAAUAGAUCUUCUAGUUUCUACUAGAUUGAGAGAGAUAGAGUGGAGGUGUAGAUUGGAGGAAGCCCGGCCUGUCGGUGUCUACUCCAAGCUUGUACCUGCGGGAUCAAGUUCUCCUAACCCGAAGCUUGCUCCUAGGAUUCUUCAGUAAUUCGACUUCUAAAUUCUAGUAAGUUCUUGUUUUAUUGUUCUUAUGGUUUAUGAGUUUACUUUAAUCUCUUCGCGUAGAGUUUAGAGUAAUCAUUGCUGGCGUAAACGUGGUGUUUAGGCUGGGGUACUCAUAGAUAUUCCCUGACUAGCUGGACCGUGGUACUAGUGAGGAACGUGACAAUUCCGAACUACCUUUGUAGAUCACAUCUCGUUAGCAGGAAGGAUAGGGUUUAUAGGUGCGGGUUGAACAUCCUUUGUGGUGUCUAGAUUCCGUUAGCCUCCCCAUUAGAACAGUAGAUCAUCCUUACCAAGGUUAGAAGGAGACUACGGUUGCAGUCUUCUCUAUUUAUCACUCACAUCGAAAGACAUUCUUUGUGCCUAAAGGUUAGUAGUAAUAGACCGGUUAGUCAGAUGCACUCUUUCUCCUAGUGGUAAAAAAAUAAAUACGAUACUCUGGAUAACCUCCCGGGUGAAGUGCUCACCGAUAUCCGUGCGCUUGCGGAUCAAUUCCUUAUUGCGUUCCCAAAUAUCAACAAGCAUUUCUGGCGCCGUUGCCGGGGAGAAAGACGGUUGCUGAGAUAACCUGAGUCUUGCUACUAGCUUGUAUCUAUACUUUUAUCUUUUCUUAUCUUUUAUAUUCUUAAUUUAUUUUCUUUACUCUUACCUUAUGGAAAACCAAAAUUCUAAAUCGAUCCAUGAGUCUGCAAUCCCUUUAGCAACUGACCUUUUACCAUGGGAAUCAUCACAGCCUAUCCAAACAUCCCAGUAUAAGUUAAGUUCUAGGUUGAUUGCCAUGAUUCAAAACGUAUCUUUUUCGGGAAAGGAAGACAAAAACCCUUACCUUCAUAUUAGAGAUUUUGAGCAAACAUGUGAUUGUCUUCGCAUUGAAGGCAUUUCUGAUAAAACUUUAUGUUGGAAGGUUUUUCCUAUUUCCUUAAGGGGAGAAGCUAGACAAUGGUACAGUCAGAAGGUAAGUCAACAACAAGGUGAAUGGGGAGUUUUACGAGCCAACUUUUGUCUAGAUUUCUAUUCCCUUGACCGUAUAGCCGACCUUAGACUCGAAGUCCUAUCUUUUAAACAAAAAGAUAAUGAAACUUUGGGAAAAUCCAGGAAAUGUUUUUCUAAUCUUUUAGAAUCUGGUCCAAACCUUAAUCUUGAAGACCCUGUUCUUUUAUUUCACUUUUUUCGAGGUCUUCAGAAAAAUCACAAACAAAUGCUACACACAAUGUCUAGAGGUUAUUUCUUUCGCAUCCCUGCUGAUGAAGCUAGAGUGAUCCUAGAUAGAAUCCUAGAAGCUGAGAUGGAUAAUACCCUUCAUGAUGAAACCUACGAAGCCGAAGUAGACACUCUACCAAAUUCUUCAUCUACUUUAGCUAUCCCAAGUUCUGAGCCACAAGAGGAAUAAAUUCCACCACCGGACUUCAUGCUGGAUAUAGAAUCUGAUCUUUUUGCCAAUUUUGGAAAUAUUUCAAACUACCAUUCUAUUGACAAACCCCAAAACGGCCAGUUUAACAUUUAUUUGCCAAGUGAAUAUCAAUUGAGAGAGCUUAUCUCAGUAAUGAGUAGCGAAUGGUUGGCGGAAUCAGAGCUUUCCUCUGAUGUGAUCCGUUUGGACACACCCUCUAUAACUAUACGCUGUGCUUAUAAUUCUGAUCGAUUUAAUGCUCUCUAUAAUCCUGUUGUGGGGAUCAACAUCAUGUCUGAAUCCUUUGCACUUAAACUAUUUAAAAAUCUUGUCUUAACCCCCACAAUAAAGGUCAUAAAGGAAUCUUCGGGACGAUUAGUCCCCAGUCUUGGAAUUAUUAAUGUCCUACCUCUUACGGUAGAAGGCUCCAUGGUUCAUUUGAACUUCUAUAUCUUUGAUACAUGGGACUUCGACCUGCUAAUAGGACAACCUUUUAGAAGACUCCUUUAUGAAGGUCAUACUGGAAAGCUACACAUUUCUUUUGGCAAAACUUUUAAAUUCCCAAUAAUAAUUUCACACUCCUUAAACAAUAAGGCCGAGUCAUAUCUUUUGCCUGAUCCUAUGGAGGAAGUAAAGGCUGCAUCUCUAGAGCUUUUAGAUGAACCAGACUUAGGAGACGAAACUCCUUUCUUCACAGAAGAAGAAGACGAACCUUCUGAGCCUGAACCCUUAGAUGAGUUUGCAGAAACACCUAGACCCCCCAUAGAGCUUAAAACUUUACCACCCGGUCUUACAUAUGCUUUCCUAAACAAUAAUCCAGAGUUCCCUGUGAUCAUUAGCGAUAAACUCACUCGGGAUCAAACUCUGCGAUUAAUGACCAUUCUUGAGAAACAUCGCUCAGUAUUCGGCUACUCACUUCAAAAUCUUACAGGAAUCAGUCCUAUGAUUUGUACCCAUCGUAUUCCAACAGAUCCUUCUGUUUCACCCUCUCGAGAACCCCAACGUAGACUUAACAACACUAUGAGAGAGGUAGUUAAAAAGGAAGUUAUAAAGUUGCUGCAUGCAGGGAUUAUAUAUCCUGUGCCGCACAGUGAGUGGGUGAGCCCAGUGCAAGUUGUGCCUAAAUUAAGCGUGGUGCUUAGGUUAAAUAGCCUUCCUUAAUCUGAUUAGACAUGGAGUCUAGUUUGGUUACUGAACUAAAAACUGCUUGAGUAGACAUUGGUAUAUUUUGUCAGACUAACCCCUGCAGGAAAACUUUCAAUAUCAACCUGGGAAGUCCUGAGAUAUAAACUCACAUCAGAUAUAAAGAGAGAGACACAUGAAGUUUAACAAUUUGCACAAGAAAGACAUAGCUCAUUCAUCAUAGAGAGAUGAUCCAUGGAAGGAGACAAAGUACAUAAACAAGAUACACAACCAUUAUGAAUGGGAAGUUUCCACAAGGUGAGAUGGUACCAUCACUGUUCAAUUAAGGUAACAUCUUAAGAUAUGUGACUAUCACUUUUAUAAGCUUCUCCUUGGUUCCGGCGUUCACAUAAAUAAAGAGACAAACAUGUAUGAUUUAUAACUCCAAAUUAACCAACCCAACUGAUUCAGCAUGUUUAGUCAUUUAAUCUUUGUUCCUAAUACUACCUUUGUGAUCUCACACUCCUAAUCAUAUAAGCUAAAAUGUUGCACAUUCAAUCUUUAGAAGAUAUAAAAAAACAUAAAUAUAGAUAGAUUAUCUUUCCAUUAGGUUGAGCGAUCUGAUCUGACAAAUGUUUUAAAUGCUACACUCAUGAUCUUAUUACCUAUCAACUUUGUCUUGCUCACUAUGCUUGAGGUUAGAGAAGAACAAAUACACUUUUGGUUCUAUUGGUGUUUUUCACCAACAGGGCCCAUGCACUUGAUCUCUGCCAUGUCUCUAUGAGUAGGUACACUUCGAGAAAAAACCUGAAGGAGUUUUACAACUCUCAGAUUCCACCAAGUGAAGGACUUGGAUCUACGAGCACAAACACACUGAGUAGGAUGCUGCCAAUGCCGCACCUCGAACUACUGGACAAACGAAGAACAUGGGUGACACCGUAUCAAGAGGUGCAGAUGUCAAGGCCCACACCUAAUCAAACGAUGCACCUAAAGGAUGAACACAGUGAGAAGUCUUGUCCAGAAGACUUAAAAAAUUGGAUCCUUGCCAGAAGGUAAAAUCGGUAUUUAUCCAUAUUUAUUUUUUCUACAUUCCUUUUCCUUUUUUAUUCCAUCACUUGCAUUAGCAUAUUUACUUUUCCACAUAGCAUUAGAAAAGAAAACAAAAAUAUUUAUUUGUUGCACAACAUCAUAAAAUCUAAAGCCCCAUGUGAGUAGACUUGUGGUUUAAAACCCAUAGGUAUAUUGACUAUGGUGGCAUAAAAUAAAUAUGUUUUCAUCUUACAAUAAAAAUAUAAAAAUAAUAAGUGUAUGAUCCUGCUAAAUAAAAUUUAUUAUGAGGAAUCUCCAUAUGAUAAAGGCUAAGAGAUUUUAUGCUAACACUUAACCAGUUCCACAAAAUCUAGCUUUUGGGAGAGCACCCCCAUCUAUCCAGCUAAGUGUUUCUACUUGCGUUUAUACUUUACUCAAAUAAUAAAAAAAUGCAUAAUCAUGAAAACCCAAAUAAAAAUUUUGUGCUUAUAUAUAUCUUUGCUUAGUUUGCUAAAUAAAUAAAUAAAGUGUCUAGGCCAAACUGAACAGAAAUGAUAAACUCUUACAUGGAUAUGAUAAAUAGUUGCUCUGCAAUGUACCUAAUUUUCAAGUUUGAGCUCUCUCUCAAGUUUAGGCAUAACUGUAAUAAUUUAAACAUGGUCUAAACCUGAACUUGUGGGAAGAGUACUUGAUCUAAAGUCUUAGUCGUUAACGGAAAUGAUAUGGAAAGGUUGAGCUGCUGUUUAUCUGAUCCUAGAGAUGCUAAAAUUCUGGAGAAUUUUAUCUUUGAAAAUCUUUAAAAUAACGCAUGAUGAGUUCCUGUAUGAUGAUUGUUUAAAUUCCUACCACAGCCAUAUAUAUAUGCUUGCUAGACUUUGAGCCACACAUUUACUUUUUACUGCUUAUGAGCAUUGAGUGUGGUCAAGCUGUGUAGACCCUUAGGAGCUUGUCAUGCGGUUAAAAGUCAAGAUUCACUUGCACGUUCACUCACACAUGCUGCUUCUACUUUGGAAGUACGCAUCCAUAUAUAUCCACUCAUUUCCAUCUCCAGAGCCACCAAAAAGUAUUGUACUCCAAAUCCGGAAGAGAAUAGCCAAAAACAUUCUCCUAUUUCUGUUUUUUUCUGUGAAAUAAAUGCUCGAGUUAUCUUUGUUACUACCACUUGCUAUAUUAUUUCGGGAGAUGAGUGCUCUAAAAAAAAGAGAGAAAGAAUACGAGGAAAUAAAAAGGGGCAAGUGCCCGGAACCUCGAAGAAAAGAAAAAGUGAGACGAGAGGUAAAAAUGCACAAUUGUCCGACAGUAGAAUUAGGGGUACCAAGAUACCCACCUGAGAGGAAAGAAAAAGAAAAUGUAGAGCAUCUCAUUCUCCUAAAAACCUUCAAAGUGCAAGAAAGGUAUGUAUCCCCAUA
rnacentral:lncRNA from 1 species